rnacentral:piRNA from 1 species
UGCCUUGGCUGAUUAUUCUCAGAGAAAAGU